UGCUGCACAGGAUCGCUGCAGUAAAUAAGAUGUGGUUCUUGUAGUUAGGGGUUUGAUCAGGGAUACAGUGAUGGUGGAGUUUCAGUAUUACAAAGCAAUGCAGAGUGUGUUUCAGAGUGUGUGUGUUAUAUGGGUGUUUUUUGUUCAGUAGAGGGAGGGGAGCUAUUUUGCACAUAGGAUAGGGUGAGGGAAUGGAAUAAGUGUCACUUUGUGACAGAUUUGUGUUUUUCAUAUGAUCAUGGUUUUGUGUUUUAUUUUGUCUUUGUUUUUAUUUAUGUGAUGUCAUUGGUGUGUUGUGAGUGGAAAUAAAGGAUGGUUAAAAUGUAGAAUUCUGUUCUGCUGUUCUUACAGUGUGGACCAUGGAGGAGAGAACAGGACCAAACCAGGACCCAGGAAAUACGGCUGUCAGUUCACACUGGAUCCAAACACAGCGCACAGAUACCUGUCUCUGUCUGAGGGGAACAGGAAGGUGACACACAUACCGGAGAGAGAGGAGCAGCCAUAUCCUGAUCAUCCAGAGAGAUUUCAGUACUGGCGCCAUGUUGUGUGCAGAGAGAGUGUGUGUGAGCGCUGUUCCUGGGAGGCUGAGUUCAGUGUGUCUGAGAUGGGACAGGUUUCUAUAGCAGUGACAGAUAAAGGAAUCAGCAGGAAAGGACGGGGUUCUGACUGUAGGUUUGGGUGGAAAAAAAACUCCUGGAGUCUGGAGUGCUUUAAACACAGAGACUUUGAUAAACUCAGUUACUCUGUCUGGCACAAUAAGAACCAAACAGACAUACCUGCCCCCCCCUCCCCCUACCGCAGAGCAGGAGUGUGUGAUGAUGAUGGUAGAGGAGUGUGUGUGUACAGGGUAGGAGUGUGUGUGGACCGUCCGGCCGGCACUCUGUCCUUCUACAGCGUCUCUGACUCUAACACACUGACCCUCCUGCAUAGACUUCACACACACUUCACUCAACACACACCCCUCUGUGCAGGAUUUUCUGUGAGGAACACCUCAUUGUCCCUCUGCUCACUGGAGUAGACACACACACGCGCAUGUGCGCGCACACACAAACACACACACACACAACACACACUCAUAUACACAUACACACACACACUCAAUCACACACUCACACACACACAUAGACACACACACCCACACCUACACACACACAUACUCUCACACACACCCUUUCUCUCUUAGUCAUGCACACUCACUCACAAAUACAUACACUCAGGUUUACUCAUGCACACGCACUCACACACCUACGCAUGCACUCUCUCACACCCAGUCACUCACACACAAUCUCACGCACACACACACACACACGCAUGCAAACAUACACACUCUCAUACCUGUAUGCACACACACACACACUCUUUCUCUCACUCACACACUCACAUACAGUAUACAGACACACACAUUUGCAAACGCACGCGCACACACACACCAUGCACUCACGCACAAACACAAACAUGUGUCAACACACACACAGUCUCUUACCCAUACGCACACACACACAUACUCAUCCACUCACACAUGCACACACAUGCAUAUACAUACAUGCGUGCACACACCAUAUACACAUGUAUACACAUUCUCAUACCCAUACAUACACACACACACACAUGUACAAACACACACAUUCACAAAGGCAAUCUCACGCACACACAUAUACACAUACAUACACUCAUUCUCUUGCACGCACACACUCAAAUACAGUCACACACACACAUUCACACAAACGCACACACACACACUUUCUCUUACCCAUACACACACGCACCCGUGCACACACACACACACAUACUCAUGCACUCAAUCAUACUCUCACACAUGCACACACACACACAUGCGUGCACACGCACACACACAUUCUCUUACCCAUAAACACACGCACCCGUGUGCACACACACACACGUCGACACACUUGCAACCUUCCUUGACCAAUGCCUUACCAGUGCAAUUUCAGCUGUGGCCAAUAUUAACCUCAGUACAGCUUAAACCCUGUACAUAAGACCAUGAUCUUUUAGCAGGUUCAAGUUUAGCACUUGCUGUCUAAAUAUGAUUUUAUAUUUUUUACAUUUUUAUUGCAAAUGUUCAAGGUGUGUUUAUGUACUUUUGAUUAUUAAAACAUUCAUAUAACAUUGAGAGUAAUAAUGCCAAAAGAUGGCAAGGUAAAAUGUUUUUGAAGUAAUAACUGUCUCCUGUAUCUGCAUCUUUUUAAAAAGAAGCCAAACUCUACUUAAAUGUGCAUUUUACUAGUUUUUACAGUUGCUUUCAUUCAUUUUCACCAGAGUUCCAUUGUGUAAAUUUCUGUGGGAAAAUGCAGCUGAUAGGGAGAAUGCAGAAUGAUCACUGCAGUGUACUUAUUUCCUUUCAUUACUGCAAACAAUGAUGGAUUGAGUUUCCUUAUUAAUUCUGUUGGGAUUGUUUUUUUGUUUUUGUUUUUUUUGUUGCUUUAAUUUUCUGUAUUUUCAGACAAUAAUAUGCAAUGAUUAAACCUGAAUUAUAAAAAUAUCAAAUGUUUUGCUGUUGUGAUUUAUUAUUGUGUGAUGUAUUGAACUCCUGUGACACAGUAGUAUUUAUUUCAUAUUCUGUAUGGGAUUAUGUUUGGGCUCAAUAUGAGUAGAUCAGCAUGGGGCUAAAAUCUGCACAGUUGAAGCAAUGACAAUCACCUACAGUAGUGGAAAUAAAAUCCAUUAUAAGAAAAGUUGUGUAGUGUCUGAUGAGUGCUUGCUUCUGUUACUGUAGUGUAACCACAACUCAAUACAUUUUGAAAAGUCACUGCUUGUCUAUUGAGCUGGUAUAUGUUACCUGUAGGGGACAUGUUGCUACUUCUCAUAGUGGGGCACCAAACUGUAGAAGAUAUACAUCAAUAUCCUCACAGGUGGUGCCAGCAUGUAAUAAUCAGUCUCAUAAUAAUUGUACAAACUAUAAAUUAGCAAUUCAAAUUAAUAAUUAAAUUAAUUAUUAUUAAAAUUACACAUUAUAGUCAAUCUUAACCAAAUCAUAAUAUCAUUCAGCUAAUACUAAAUUAAUAUAAAUGAUUUAGCUAAGGGGGUGAAGGUAUUCAUUAAGUUCUUUGGAUUAGCAGCGGCUGACUCAAUUCAACACAAGAGUAAUAUAAAUACAGACAACCGUGUAAAUAUAAUAAAGUUUAUUCAACAAAGCACCAAAAAGCACAAUUCACUACUAUGAUGCGAUAAACUAUGUGAGUGUGUGGGUAGGUGUUGUGUGUGCGUGUGUAAGUGUUGUGUAAGUGUUGUGUGUGCGUGUAAGUAUGUGAGUGAGGAAUGUUGGACGUUCUCCUAGGUGGGGGUUGUGUACAGCAGACACGUGUUCACGGAGAACAAAGGAACAAGAUGGAGUAUGAAUGGAGGAGUUUUUGAAUCUAGACAAAGCAAUGGCGCACGAAGCAUACCAAACAGAUAAGUUAUAACGGAUAUAUGGAUAUCGGUGUAUGUUUAUAGAGAUCAACAUGCCGUGUUAUGACCGUUAGUAAUUAGAAUAGAUCACAUGCAAGAUAUGUUCUGUGCGUGACAUAUAUUAAAACUAACGCAGCGCGGUGGAUGGCUUAUUAGAGCCAACCAAACAAACAGAAUGUUUAUGCUAAUCAUUAAACUCGUCCGACUCAUCUACAACCUUCCCAAAUUCUCCCAUGUCACUCCUCUGCUGCAAUCACUCCACUGGCUAUCGGUCGCCGCCAGGAUCUGGUUCAAAGCCCUGACCCUUGCCUACACUGCUGCCAACAGGACAGCCCCCAUCUACUUGCAGGACAUGACUAGAUUCUAUGUGCCUGCUCGACCACUGCACUCUGCGGCAGCAGGGGCCUUGUAACCCCUCCCACCCGCCCAAAGGGAUCACAGAGCUUCUCCACCCUAGCUCCCCAGUGGUGGAACGAACUCCCAGUCCCUCUCCGAACCUCCCCCUCACUACCCAUCUUCCGCCGUGGCCUGAUAACUCAUCUCUUCAGACUAUACCUAGACUAACCACCACCACGCUGUAUAUUUCACUCUUUAAACCCCCCCCACCCCUUUUCAUGAAACUUGUUACAUGUUGCCCCAUCCCAGCACUUUUUGGUAAUUUGUAUUUGUCCUAAUACUGUAGCUUAUUCUUCUGCCUAGUUGGCUUUGCAGAGGUUAGGUCAGAAUAGUGUUCACUGUGUGAACUGUGUUCUUGGCUAGAAAUAGCUGUACAAAAUAAGUAUUGUACCUUACUGAACCUGUGUUUAGCAGUUGUCUAUGACCAUGAAAUGCACUUUUUGUACGUCGCUUUGGAUAAAAGCGUCUGCCAAAUAAAUGUAAUGUAAUGUAAAUACAAUAACCGUCACAGUUACAUACAUCCAAUCAUAAAUGUGGCUAUAUUUGGUCUGUCACUAAUUAUACUAAUUACAGCCUUACUUGAGCGUCCUUUGCUUUGGGUUGUGUUAGAAAAAUGUUUCCUGUUUUCCAGUGUGAAGUCUGUGGAGGUUGUGGUGGAAAGGGGAAGCUGGUCGCCCUUUCUGUUCCAAAACACGCAACCGGAUCCUCCGCUAGUCGCUUGCUUCUUGGGACUCGCUCUGCAGGAUGUGUUGGUCGUGCGUGGCUCUCCUGGUUCUUCGACCUCCUCUAAAAAUAGUGCUUCGUAGCGCUUCGUUCCGCCAGCAGCCACCGAGGAUAUUCGGGCCUGGAUCCGUUGCAGGCCUUGCGAACUGUUCCUGGCCUGUGGACUCACGCGGGAGGGAGACGGGAGAUGGGUGGCGAGUCCAGGGAGAGGACAAAGGAGGCGAGAGCGGAAUGGGAAAAGUAGAAGAGAGGAGA